rnacentral:pre_miRNA from 1 species
GGGGGGAGGCCGAUCCGGGCUGUGUCCCGUGCCCUGUGCUCCGGAGCCUGCGCUGUUGGAUUCGCGCUCCCGGGCCGCGCAACCCCCU